UGGCAAAAUGUUGGGCUGAAUUUUUGUUUGUCUUAUGUAGAAAAGCAACACUUCUGUUCUGGACCACUCUCCAGUAGACAAAAAACAUCCCAGCUUUCGAAAUGAGAGUCCAAAUUGGGUUACCACUGGGAUUUUAAAUUAUGAUGUGAAAUUGGAGAAGGCAAGCUGCUUCAGAGUGAAGUUUCAUAAUUUAUUCCGAUAAUCUGGAGGGGAUGAUCUCCUUCACAGCACUGUUAAAGCCUGCCUUGAACAAGCUCAUUUCACUACAUAACUUCCUAGAGACAAGACUGAUUAUUUAAGGAUUUCAGAGGUAUCAUUUGGGGAAUAACUCACCAGAUAGAGAAAGUUUGAUCUAAUAUGUUAACAGGCACAAAAUCUAAUAUUUCAAUGCUUUCUCACCCUGCCCCUUCUCUGAGAGUUUAGCCUUUCUUAGGGGCCAUUAGGAUAUGUCCUUUCCCAAGCUAGAAAUGAUUGAUUGUAUUUCAUGUCCCAAAGUAAAGUCUCCCCCAAGUGCGUUGGACGUGAAGGCAACCAAAAAGACCCAUGUUAUUUUUCUGUCACUUCACAGCAUGGAGGACCUUCUUGUUUAUGUGUGUGGGCUAUGGUGGGUUAGCUUAAGGGAACUGUCAAAUUAAAAUGAAAAGAAAGCAAGUUGGGGCAAGAAAACUCUCACUCUGAAUGUGAAAGAAAAUAGCAGUGUUCUUUUCUGUGGCAAAGAUUUGUGUACUGUUGGGGGAAGAUUCAUGUUAUUUCUCAGGUAGAUUUUACCUUCUGAGAUUCUGCGCGCGCGCACGCACACGCGUGUGUGUGUGUGUGUGUGUGUGUGUGUGUGUGUGUGUGUGUGUUGGCUGGUGGGGGGGGUUGGAGCCAUAUAAAAUGUAGUUGUUUAUGAGUUUAUACUUUCUCUUUAGCAUAAUAAAUGCCCUGCUUAUUUUCUCAGAAUGUGACCAUAAAAUUUGGAAUUGAGAGGAAUUCAGAGGCCCGUGUCACAGUUCAUGGUAAAGUUUUGCCCAAAUAUUUCCUUCAGAAACAUUUAGUCAUAGCAAUCCAAAUCAAUUCUUAUCUGCAACUGGCAUCAGAAAAAGAAAUCAGUAGGUGGGGGCUGUAGACCCUGAUGCUGCAUCUAUUUACAAUCUUUCUUUUCCAAGGUUUUAGGGUUCAUGAUUCACAUAAGGAAAUUUUGGGGGAGCUACCACAUCUGGCAUGCAUUAUUAACUCUGUUCCAUGGGAAAACUAGGAUUGCUUCUGGGCUAAUUUUGUUGGAAAUGGCACACGUACAAAAAGAGACUUUUGGAACAUGUUUUAAGCCUUUCACCUGAGGUCAGCCUCUGCUGAAAGAGUGUUUAGUUUGGUAGGCAUGGUUUCUUGCUUCUCCUAUCCCAGGGUGUAAAUUCUGCAGUGAUUCCUGGGUAUAUGUUUUCAGCACCAGGGACAGCAAACAACCCCCGAAUUGAAGGGCCGUGCUCUCCUGAUUGACCUCCCAGACCCAGGAAGGGUAAUAUCGUUUUGUUUUCCUUUAUUCCCUGUCCACUGGGGCCUCAGCUCAGAAGUCUUCAUUCUUUAGGUGCUUACAUCUUUAAUUUAUUACCAAGCCCAGCUUAGCUGUCUCUGUCACAUUCUUGACCUCCUAACAAGUGGGUUUGGAGUAAGACUCCCAGGUCUGCUGGCUCAGAGAAGCAGAAGGACACUAGACUUCAUUUGAAGGCCAUGCUUUAGAAUAGGCUCCCCCUACAGAAGUCUUUCUAGCAUACCAAUGACUUGUAAACCCCUAAAUGAAAGACUGCUUAUACACAAUCACUUUCCUUUUAAAAUUUCUGCACAUUUCUCACAAUGUACAAGUCUAUGUUUGACUCGGUGUGCAUCUGGAGGCAAUAUUUCACAGCAGUUGAGCAGAAGCUAUGAACUUUGGGGAUGGAAAAGGGCCCAAUGAUGCUGCUGUUAUGCGUUUUGGACACUCAGUGGGGGCACUGCUUUGAUUCUCGGCAUCCACCCUUCAACCCUGAGUGCUCUUCAACAGCUGUUUUUGCCUUAAACAAUCACAAACAGAGAAGAAGGAGCUGCAAAGUGACUGCUAAUGAAGCAAUGAUCUGCUGGCUGGGGGAAAUGUGGCCCGAGACUAGAGAUGCAGAGCCAGCAUCUCUAGAAGGAGAGAUGCUCUCAAUAGAAGAAGCCCCCGGAAGGGACCUGGUCAGACAAUACAAUUUUAUAAAGGUUCUCAGUACUUUUUCUGAAAAAAUUCCUAAAAUUUUCAAGGGCACUUCUAGCCCUCUGCCUCUUUAGAGGUGAGCUCAGUGCUACGUCUGGGUUCUUAAGGCAAAUGCCCUACAAACACCAAAGUCUCGUAUUUUCCACUCUCAGCCGGCACUGGCUAAGUGGGAUAUUUUUUCCCUUCCCUAAGUGAAAGGGACUUGUUUUCAGGAGAAGUGUCCUUUAAACAUCCAGCUAAAACUGGAAGUAAUUUUUUGCAUGAAUGGCUUUUUACAGCUAGGUCUAAAGCAGAACAAAACUUGUAUUAAACUAAGUGCUACUUUACAUAUCUUAUUUCAAGGGAAAUGAAGGAUUUAUUGCCGUGUAAAUGAUAUACACUGAUUUGCUUCCUACUGGACAUUACAUGUCCCUUUAUCUUUAGGCUGAUGUUGUGCAGCAAACUUUCAAUCUCUGGAAAAUCAGCUGGUACCUACUUCAGUGCAUUACUAGGAUAUUACGUUCCCUGAGAGGAAUUUUCCCAAUGAAGUUUAGGUACCAUUGUAACUGAUUUCCAUCCCCCCUCCCUAAGCUUCUGUACUAAGUAUAUGUAAAGUUACUAUAUCUUGUCUGACCCCAUGUGCUUGUGUGUGUUUCCCAAUGUUUAUAUAAAUAUAUUGGUGAUCGGAAGGGUUAGCUGGAUUACAGCAACUGCUGAACAUGGUGCGUGUGGCAUGUGGCACACCUCAUGCCUGUGCACACCCGUUCUGAGGCCAAGCUAAUUUUACAGGUUUUGAAAACAAAAAAACAGCAGCAACAAUAACAACAACUGUGUGGCUUGAAUUGAGGAAAGUUUGACGAUGGAUACAGUAUUGCCAAGUCAUCAUUUAUGGGUGGAGACCUUGACCACAGCAGAGCUGAGGUGUGUUCAACUGGAUCUUAUGUCCUUUAUUUUAAUCCCAAUUGAUCGUUCCUCAUUUGUAUUUUAUGACUUAGAAAUACACCUACGUGAUGCUUGUUUUUCUCCCAGGCCUCUGGAAAGUGCUGAUCAUGAUUGCUUCCCAUCAUUUGGAUCCCAAAGUUGAUAACUUAGCAUGAGUGACUGAGGCUUUAGUAGAACUGUGUUUUACUAACUGUAUCUCCUCCUUGAGGUGCUGUUCCCUUCAUUCUUUACCUUUAUGACAGGUGAAUGCAUUGAAUGCAUUGGCUAUGAUAAUUUUAUUUGCAUCCUGGCAAGUUUUAGAGGAUCAAUCUAAUUAAAAUGAUGACUGCAUUUGCCUUUGAAGAAGAGGUUUAUUGUCUAAGUGAAACUCUAUGUGAAGGUGUCCUUUAUGCAAAAAAAAAAAAAAAAAUCCAACUUGAUAAGAUGGCCACAGGUUAGAGGGGUGUGUUCUCAGUUGAUAUUAAGGGAUAUGUUGAAAAGGCAAGUGCCCACCCUUUCUCUAUUCUUCAUGCCCUCCCUUCCUUCCUCCCCAACCUCAAAAGAAAACAGAAAAUUAUUUUUUUAAACUGUAUUAAUAAUUUAUGUUUAAUACAAAAGGCUGAUUUAAUGGUAUCACCAAAGGUCGUUUCUCCCAUUGUGCAUGUCCUUCAGUCUCAGCCCCAUACCCAUCACCCCAUUCUUCACCCUCAUGCUUCCAUCCCAAGGCAAACACGUGUCUUCAUCGGAAUCUAUGGGUGUUGAAAUUAAAUGUGGGGGCAGAGAUUUAACACCAUGACACUAAUACAAAUCAACCAUUCUUCACUUUCAAAUGGUUAAUUGCUACAGGAAGGAGAACUCUUUCCUCGGUUUUUGUUUAAAAGCAUUUUAUACAUAUAUAUGUAUAUAUGUGUGUGUAUGUAUGGACAUAUGUAUGUAUAUGCACAUGUACAUGUAUAUAUGUAUAUAUCCAUCUUCAAUAUAAAUAUAUCAUAUGUGAGAGUUGUAAAUACUCCUUGGUCAUAUGUCUGUCUUUCUCAUAGUACCACAUCUUCAAUGUUAUCUUAACAACUCCAUUUAUUGAUUGAUGAAAUUGUGUGUAGAACUGUAUCCUCCUGACUUAGUUUAUGUAGGGUCUCUUCUCAAAUAAAGUAUAAAACAACAA